AUAAAAGAUCCACAAACCAAGCAGCUUAAAAGCCGGGUAUUCGGAAAGAAAGACGUAUUAAAUAUAGACAAUUUCAACAUAUAUAUUAUGAUGUUGUUGCAUGCGGUUUUAUUGCCUACU